GGCGUGCUUACACUGCAAGUCGAACGGAAAGGCCCAGCUUGCUGGGUACUCGAGUGGCGAACGGGUGAGUAACACGUGGGUGAUCUGCCCUGCACUCUGGGAUAAGCCUGGGAAACUGGGUCUAAUACCGGAUAUGACCAACUGUCGCAUGGUGGUUGGUGGAAAGCUUUUGCGGUGUGGGAUGGGCCCGCGGCCUAUCAGCUUGUUGGUGGGGUAAUGGCCUACCAAGGCGACGACGGGUAGCCGACCUGAGAGGGUGAUCGGCCACACUGGGACUGAGACACGGCCCAGACUCCUACGGGAGGCAGCAGUGGGGAAUAUUGCACAAUGGGCGCAAGCCUGAUGCAGCGACGCCGCGUGAGGGAUGACGGCCUUCGGGUUGUAAACCUCUUUCACCAGGGACGAAGCGUGAGUGACGGUACCUGGAGAAGAAGCACCGGCCAACUACGUGCCAGCAGCCGCGGUAAUACGUAGGGUGCGAGCGUUGUCCGGAAUUACUG
rnacentral:rRNA from 2 species